GGGGGCUCUCUGUGUGCCCCAUCUGCUCCAGCACUCUCUCCUCAGAUGGGCCUCCUCUGUUCUCUGCUUUGCGCUCCCUGCAAGGAGUCCAAUCCUCGAAGGUGGGAGAGUCCAGAGAAGAAAAGAGCCAAAUGGUUGUGGGCUGCACGUAGAUGGUGAAGGAGAAUCAGAGUUGAAAUGCAUAGAGGCUCUCUAGGACACAGUGCAAACGUGUAUCUUCAGUAGAGACGGGGUUUCUCCAUGUUGCUCAGGCUGCUCUCAAACUCCUGACCUCAGGUGAUCCACCCACCUUGACCUCCCAAAGUGCUGGGAUUACAGGCGUGAGCCACCAAGCCCAGCCUCCUCCACCUAUCUUUAUCCAGAUGCACAUAACUGUUAUCCUCUGCCUGUCCAGUAAUGUAUAUUAGAAUUGUGUUGGUAGAAGGGCUGAGGCAGGGCUUGCUUGUCUGACAUAAUGUAAAAGAGUCUUGGAACAUGUCCUGGGUCCAUGGUCUAAAACCCCUCGUGGCCUAGGGAACACCAAGCUUUGUGCCAAAGGGUGGAAGGCUGCCCUGCUGCACUACAAUCUAAGCCCAGUGCAUAAAACCCCUUGUGGUUUGGAGAGCACCCAGGGCUCAGGGAAUAAAACCCCUCGU
rnacentral:lncRNA from 10 species